UGCUUAAGGUACAUAACCCAUAGUUCUUUCACAUUUUUGUUUGUUUAGGAUUAUAAUUAUGCUUUUCUUUUUCUUUUUGAAGAGGUAUAUGAUCAUUAUAUGGACUUGAGAGGAAUGGAGCUUGCUCGAUUCGCCCUGGAAGAGUUCAACAAGCAAAAGGUAUUGAACUGUGCAAUGUGAAAUUGAAAUAGUGAAAUUGGUUUUAUUUUCUUUUUAUGAAAUAGUUAAUUGAUAUGAAUUAUGACACAUUAUGUCACAUCCCGACCCUUAUAUUUUUACCUUAUUUACUAGCGUGAUUAUAAUAAGAAUUUUACCGUCUCGAUCAUUGAGUAAAUAGUUUAAUUGGUCCCUAGAGGGGUUUCGGGGACGAUUAUGUGCGGAGGAUAAUUCGUAUGGGGAUUAUACGGCGACGGUAAAAAUAGUAAAUUUUAGCUAGUAAACGGUAAUUUUUAUUCGGGUAUUAUUUUUUCGGGGUGUUGAAUUUUGGAAUUAUGGGUUAAAAGGGGUGUUGGGUCGGCUGGGCCGAGCCCAACCCAUUUCUUCUUCUUUCUCUUCUCCCUCCCUCCCGAUUUUUCUCUCUUCUCACCCGGUUUUCCCCUCUCUACACCCAGCAGAAUUCCGGCCGUCCUCCCGCCGCCGUCCGACCUCCGUUCGCCGCCGGACCGGUCCCGUUCGGUCGGUCUCCCUCCCAGCAUCAUUUCUAGACCGGUGAGAGGAGCCCUAGCGCCGCCGUGAGAGAGCGGUGCCGCCCGAAAGCAAGGGCUGCCCCGAGCUUCCCUUCGCCGGAACUUCCUCCUCCGGCCACCAAUCCGGGCAAGCUUGGUAUGGUUUUGUAGCCCUCCAACCCAGCAACCUUGCCCUAAAAGGACUCACUCCCUCUUGAGCUAGGUAAGGAGAAAUUUGAGGUGGAAGUUUUAUGGUGUUUUUGAUGUUUUUAGUCGAUUUCCCUAGUUAGGCUUGGAAUUGGUGUUUGUGCAAGUUAUGAAAGUUGUAGAGCUUGAUAAGAGGAAGAUGCUGUUAAAAUUUCAUAGGUUUUGGAGGUCGCCGGAAUUGACCUCCGGCCGCCGCCGGUUGGGAGAUUUUAAUGUUGUUAAAUUUGGAAUAUUAAGGGGAGUUUAUUGAAGUGAGUUAUGGAAUUUUUGGAUGAGUUUUGGAUAGGUUUAUGAAUUUCCGAAGUGUGGUAUUUUUGGCGGGUAAUUAAUGUAGAAUCCGGCCGUUGGAUUUAAGUCGUAUUUUGGAGAGGUUGUAUUUACGACUGUGGAGUAUGAUAUUUAAGUUCGGAUCGUCCGAUGUAAGAAUAUCGAAGUUAGGCAAUAAUGAGCGUAAUUAUGGCUCUCGGGUAAUUUUNNNNNNNNNNNNNNNNNNNNAAUAUUGGAUAUUGGUUGGGAAAUUAAUAAUUAUAUUUGGAACAGGACGUGAAGAGGCUCGAGCAGACGAGACCCAGAUUGACAUCAGGCUUAGGCCUAAUUCGUGAGUGGUACGUUUAUUUUAAAUAAAUGCAUGCUAUAGUUCAUGGUUGAACAAUUAAUAUUGCGGAAUAUUUUAACGUCAUUUUAAUUUGACGAUUUUUAUUUUCUCUUGGAGAGCUACCGAAAAUGGGAUUUUCGGUGAAUAUAAAUAUGUAUUUAUGAGAGAGUAUGUAUAUAAAUGCUAGCUAGCCAUAUGUGUCUGUCCACCUUAAUGGCGUAGCAUAUAGCCGCAUUAUGGUGUGACGUGAGCGUUGGACGUAAGCGUAGUAGCCCUAUAUGAGUUGUUUAAUUCAUAUAGGGGGGUAUGGACACAUAUUUAUACACCCGUCUGUCCACCUUGAUAGCGUAGUGUAGCACCGCAUUAAGGCGUGACGUGAGCGUUGGACGCGAGCGUAGUAGCCCUAUAUAGACCCAUGAAUUUAUAUAGGGAGUAUGGACGAGUAGUAAAUACAUACAUAUAUUAUAGAAUCUGAGAGGCUCGAUAUUUAUGGGAUAAAGGUUUUAUCGCUUGCGGCAUGCACUCGAUUUUCCUUAGAAUUAAUUGGGGAAACAUAAAUAUUUUAUUUAUUAAUUUAUUUUUUGUCCACUCACUCUAACGUUAUUAAAUGUUUUCCCCUGGGCCCUUCGUUUUAAAUUGCCCAGUCUGCAGAGUUCGGGUUGGAUCUAGUAGGAGACGAGGCAUAGUCACCCGCUUUUCGGCCAGUUUUCGCCAGUAGGUUGCCUGUUCAACCUACUCGUAUUUUCUUGCUUCCGCUUGUGUUUAGUAGCUCUGAAUACUUUAGAAUUUUUGUAUAUUAUGCGAUGUUCAGAAGUGUAAUAUGAAAUUUUCGAGUUAGGGUUGUCCAUCUACAAGGGAGAUUUUCUUAAUCUUUUCAGUAAAUUUUCCUUGGAGGUGGUCCCCGCACGACUUACUCUGGGUUUCAGGGUGAAACUCGGGGUGGGUCGUGUCAAGGAGGGCUACAAAACGAGCCAAGGAUCGCCGGUUUUAGUGGCCGGAGGAGGGAGCUCCGGCGAGUGAAUCACCACGGCUUCUUGCCGUGAUAACUUGAAAUUUCCGACGGGAGAGGGGCUGUCACCAACUCAGGGCUGGAGAGGGAAGGACAGGGGUCCAAACGAGACCGGUCCGGCGUCCUGGCUCGGCCGGUCGACGGCGGCAAGAGCUGGAGAAAAACCGGACACUGGAGAGGUCGGGAGAGGCUGGGAGGAGAGAAGAAAAAGAGAAGAGGAAGAGAAGAAAAAAGAGAAGGGAAGAAUGGCUUUGGGCCUCACACCCCCAAACCGGGCCAACAACCUUAUACACCAAAACCCAACUCUAAAAUUUACACCCCAAAAUAAAAUACCCUAUUAAAAAUUACCUUUUAUUAGCUAAAAUUUACCAUUUUCACCGUCGUUAUAUUUUCUCCUACGAAUCACUCUCUGAAAUAAUCGUCCCCCAAAAUCCCACUAGGGACCAAUUAAACUAUAACUUCAUUGACGGAGACGGUAAAAUUCUUAUUAUAAUCAAGCUAGUAAAUAAGGUAAAAAUUUAAGGGUCCGGAUGUGACACGUACUCCUCGAAAACAGACUAGGGUGAAUUGCCAAGCUAGAUUUCGGAUCAAUUACACUGAUGGGUGUAGAGUUUAUAUGGUGAAGAUAUUCGUUCCAGAGCAUAAUCAUGAACUAGCUACUGGGAACCAGAUUGCAUUCGUUUAUGCUCAUCGUCAUGUCAGCGACGCAGCUUUGGCUCUGACAAACACAAUGACAAGGGUUUCAAUUAGACCAUGUCACACAUAUGAGUAUAUGGUGGAGCAGGCUGGGGGAUAUUCGGUAGUGGGAUUCACCAUGAAGGACCUCUACAACAAGCUUGACCAACAACGACGGACCUCCCUAUUUGAGAGUGAUUCCAAAGGAGCGCUUUCCUACAUGAGAGCACUGGCAGCAAAAGACCCACACUUCAUAUGCAGAUUCACUACAGAUUUGGAAGACAGGUUAGUGGACAUUUUUUGGCGAGAUGGCAUUCAUUUGUUGAUUAUCAGUGUUAUGGGGAUGUGCUGAUAUUCGAUAGCACAUACAAAACCAACAAGCCAUUGGUUAUGUUUGUUGGGUCGAACAACCAUCGAGGUAGUAUUAUUUUCGGUGCUGCCCUUAUUUCGGAUGAGACUGAGGAGACAUACACUUGGUUGCUUCGUACAUUUUUGGAGUCGAUGAACGGGAAGAUGGCAAAGGCGGUACUCACAGACAGUGACGAGGCCAUGCGUAAGGCAAUUGAAACUGUGAUGCCGGAAGCAAGGCACCGUCUAUGUAUUUGGCACAUAGGUAAAAAUGCCUUUACCCACUUAAAGUCUGAGGAAAAGUUGAAGGCUUUUAACAGAUGCGUGAGGAAGAAUCAAACAGUUGAGCAAUUUGAAAGGUUGUGGCAGGAAAUGAUUGACGAACUUGAUCUCCAUGACGAUAUUUGGAUCAGGAAUAUGUAUGAAAAGAGAGACAAGUUUUGUCAAGCAUUCAUCGGUGACAUAUUUAUGGCCGGAAUGAGAAGCACACAAAUGUGUGAGGGCAUGAAUAAAGAAUUCAAGAGGGUGCUUAGUAAAGGGAAAUCCCUUGUGGAGCUUGUUGCGUUGGUGUACAGAUUACUUAUGAAACUGAGACACAAUCAAGAAAGGGAUGAAUUCAUCUAUAUGAAUUCCUUUCCUGGUGCCGUAACUCACUUGGUAGAUUUGGAGAUACAAGCCUCUUCUAUAUUCACACACGAUGUGUUUAAAUGGAUUGUAAGAGAGAUCAAGAAAAAGAGCUUUAAUACACUAAAGCAAGGAGCAGAAUGUCAUGAAGAUGGUAGUCGUGUUUACAAGCUAUCAGUAUACAAACGGCCUGAAUUUGACCACACUGUUGUUCUUGGUGCCGUAACUCACUUGGUAGAUUUGGAGAUACAAGCCUCUUCUAUAUUCACACACGAUGUGUUUAAGUGGAUUGUAAGAGAAAUCAAGAAAGAGAGCUUUAUUACACUAAAGCAAGGAGCAGAAUGUCAUGAAGAUGGUAGUCGUGUUUACAAGGUAUCAGUACACAAACGGCCUGAAUUUGACCACACUAUUGUUUACCACCCUGAGAAAGAGACUGACAGUGCAAAAGACUCGAUUAUGCUGUGUUCUUGCAGAAUUAAUGUUUCAGUACGGGGGAGUACCAUGUCGUCACAUGUUCACGGUGAUGAAAAAGAACACAUUUUUGAGCUUCACAAGUCACUGAUCGUCAAGAGAUGGUCAAAAGACGCAAGAACUGUGUGUGAGAUCCCUUAUCCAGAUCAAUCUAUGCCUAGAGAAGCAUUGGAAGUGAGCAAGUAUGGUGCUCUAACUGCCGAAUGCAAUCGAUUGUGCUUUUAUGCUUCAAAGACAGAUGCAGGGUACAACUUGUUGCAGAAGGAGAUCAGUUGUCACAUCCCGACCCUUAUAUUUUUACCUUAUUUACUAGCGUGAUUAUAAUAAGAAUUUUUACCGUCUCGAUCUUUGAGUUAAUAGUUUAAUUGGUCCCUAGAGGGGUUUCGGGGACGAUUAUGUGCGGAGGAUUAUUCGUAUGAGGAAAAUAUGACGACGGUAAAAAUAGUAAAUUUAGCUAGUAAAAGGUAAUUUUUAUUCGGGUAUUAUUUUUUGGGGUGUUUUAUUUGUAGGAGUUGGGUAUUUUAGUAUUGUUGGACCGGGUGUAGAGGCCCAUUUCUCUUUUCUCUUUUUCUCCUCUUUUCUCCUCCCGGUUCUCUCUCCCCCGAGCUUUCCCGCCGUCCGGAAUUCCGACCGCCAGACCGCCGCCGUCCGGCCGCCCCAGACCCAAUCGAUCGGUCUCUGACCCAGCUAUCUUCUAGGACCGGUAGCAGCCCCCCUAGCGCCGCCGUGAGAGAGCGGUGCCGCCCGAAAGGAUAGGCUGCCCCGAACUUCCGGUCGCCAGAACUCCCUCCUCCGGCCACCAAUCUGGGCAAGCUUGGUACGGUUUUGUAGCCCUCCUCCCGUGCAGCAACCCCUCCAAGCAGCUCCCUCCCUCUUGAGCUAGGUAAGGAGAAAUGUGGAGUUGAAAUUUCUAGGGCUUUUAAGUCGUUUUCGUUCGAUUAGCCUAGUUAGGCUUGGAAUUGGGUGAUGUGUUGGUCAUGAAAGUUGUACAGGAGAUUGAGAGGAAGAUUCUGUUAAAAUUUGGUAGCAUUUGCAGGUCGUCGGAGUUGGUCGCCGGCCGCCGCUGCCGGCGGAGCCGCCGGCGGCGCCGCCGCUGUUUUGGGAAAUUUUGUGGUUUUUGAUGUAGAAUAUUAAGAGGAUAUUAUUGAGGUGAAUUUUGGAAUUUUUGGAUGAGAUUUGGAUAGGUUUGUGAAUUUCCGAAGUUUGGUAUUUUUGGCGGUUAAUUAAUGUAGAAUCCGGCCGUAGGAUUUAAGUCGUAUUUUGAGGAGGUGGUAUUUACGACUGUUGAGUAUGAUAUUUAAGUUCGGAUCGUUCCGAUUUAAGAUUAUCGAAGUUAGGCAAUGAUGAGCGUAUUUAUGGCUCUCGGGUAAUUUUUCCUAUUUUAAUUAAAUAUUGGAUUAUUGGUUGGGAAAUUAAUAUUAUAUUUAGAACAGGACGUGAGGAGGCUCGAGCAGACGAGGCCCCAGAUCGACAUCAGGCUUAGGCCUAAUUUGUGAGUGGACUUUUAUUUGAAAUAAUUUGCAUGCUAUGGUUCAUGAUUGAACAUUUCUUUUUGUUGGAGUAUUGACGUCAAUUAAUUUUGACGCUUUUAUUUCUCUUAGAGAGUUACCGAAAAUGGGAUUUUCGGUGAAUAUAAAUAUGUAUUUAUGAGAGAGUAUGUAUACAAAAUGCUAGCUAGCCAUAUGUGUCUGUCCACCUUAAUGGUGUAGCAUAUAGCCGCAUUAUGGUGUGACGUGAGCGUUGGACGUAAGCGUAGUAGCCCUAUUUGAGUGUUUAAUUCAGAUAGGGGGUAUGGACACAUAUUUAUACACCCGUCUGUCCACCUUGAUGGCGUAGUGUAGCACCGCAUUAAGGCGUGACGUGAGCGUUGGACGCGAGCGUAGUAGCCCUAUAUAGACCCAUGAAUUUAUAUAGGGAGUAUGGACGAGUGUAAAUACAUACAUAUAUUAUAGAGUCUGAGAGGCUCGAUAUUUUAUGGGAUAAAAGUUUUAUCGCUUGCGGCAUGCAUUCGAUUUUUCCUUAGAAAUUAAUUUGGGGAAACAUAAAUAUUUUAUUUAUUAUUUUAUUUUUUGUGCACUCACUCUAACGUUAUUAAAUGUUUUCCUCUGGGCCCUUCGUUUUAAAUUGCCCAGUCUGCAGAGUUCGGGUUGGAUCUAGUAGGAGACGAGGCAUAGUCACCCGCAUUUCUGCCAGUUUUCGCCAGUAGGUUACCUGUUCAACCUACUCGUGUUUUCUUGCUUCCGCUUGUGUUUAGUAGCUCUGAAUACUUUAGGAUUAUUGUAUAUUAUGGGUAGAAUUUCUGAAGGAUAAUUAUGUGAUGUUCGGAAGUGUUGAAUUAAGAGUGUAAUAUGAAAUUUUCGAGUUAGGGUUGUCCAUCUGCAAGGGAGAUUUUCUUAAUCUUUUCAGUAAAUUUUCCUUGGAGGUGGUCCCCGCACGACUUACUCUGGGUUUCAGGGUGAAAUUCGGGGUGGGUCGUGUCAUCAGUAG
rnacentral:lncRNA from 1 species